AGACACUGGAGCGGAUUUGGCCGGGCGAGGGGCCGGGUCAGGGCAGAGAAGGGGGCUGCAGGAGGAAGCUGCGCUUAAGGAGAGGAGUAUGUGUGUGUGUGAACCUGCUAAGAAGAAUUCCAAUGUUACCAAAUAUUUCCCAGAGUUAGAGGCAAUCUACGCUACAAUAGAAGUCUGGUGGUGACAGUGGUGAAGAUUUCCAUGUGACUCAGUAAUGGAGAAAAAUAUCUACAUUAUUUUCCAUUAAAAUCCCUGUUAACACCCCAGGGAAGGCUUCCAGACUGUAAAAGAAAAAUUAAAAAAUGUUUUUGUUUUUUU